GCCUGGGUGGCUCAGUCGGUCGAGCAUCUGACUUUGGCUCGGGUCCCGGUCUCAGGGUUGGUGGGUUCGAGCCCCGCAUCGGGCU
rnacentral:tRNA from 1 species